rnacentral:snRNA from 1 species
GUGCUUGCUUUGGGAGCACAUAUACUAAAAUUGAAACAAUACAGAGAAGAUUAGCACGGCCCCUGUGCAAGGAUGACAAGCAACUUUAUAAAGUGUUCCAUUUUUUU